CCUAGUUUGCUCAUGAAAUUGGCAGUGGCUUUAGGUUUUUAGGGAUCUUCCAGAAAUCGUAGGUUGCUCAUUAAGGUGACAGGGACUUUGAGUUUCUAAAGAUACACAAAGAUCGCAAGUUGGUCACAUACAAGAUGCUCAGUUACUUACGCUAGGUCACAUCAAGGAUGCUUAACCGCGUGAACCCCAAACAUGCAGCUGGAGCUAGAAUUCCAUAUCCUCGCAAAGAUCGCCUAUGUAUUGCACCAAGGAUGCUCAGCUACUAAUGCUAGUUGGUCAUAUCACAGAUGCUAAAAAAGGAUGUCCCUCUAACGAGUAGAGGGAAUACUAUUUCGUAACACAAAAGAUCACUAGUUGAUCAUAUACAAGAUGUUUAGCUGGGGUC
rnacentral:lncRNA from 1 species